rnacentral:misc_RNA from 1 species
GUAGGUGAACCUGCGGAAGGAUCAUUAGCGAGAUUGCCGCACGCCGCGGGCCCCUGUGGCCUGUGUGCGGGCGCGCAAGAGCCAUCCUUGUGUUAUGUGUGUGUGUGGUGUCGCGUGUGUGCGCACUCUCUUGUGGGCACACGCGCGCACAUCCUUUUUCACCCGUAUCAUUCACGUUUAUUCUAAUCCACUGCUCACACGAGCACAAACAACCGAAAACUGCCAGCAAUGGAUCACUCGGUUCUC